CGCCUCUUGUCCCCCACAAAAUAAGAGGUCCUGCCUGCCCCGUGACUCUGUGUUUAACGGCCGCGGUAUUUUAACCGUGCAAAGGUAGCGCAAUCACUUGUUCUUUAAAUAAGGACCUGUAUGAAUGGCAAGACGAGGGCUAGACUGUCUCUUUUUUCUAGUCAAUGAAAUUGAUUUCCCCGUGCAGAAGCGGGGAUAAAAACAUAAGACGAGAAGACCCUGUGGAGCUUUAGACACCAGAGACAGCCCUAUGUCAAACCCCUUAAAUAAAAGACUGAACCUAUAGGACCCUUCUCUCAUGUCUUCGGUUGGGGCGACCGCGGGGAUAAAAACAACCCCCAUGUGGAUUAAGAAAACCGACCUCUUAAACCAAAGAGCCACCGCUCGAACUCACAGAACUUCUGACCGAAAGAUCCGGCAACGCCGAUCAACGAACCAAGUUACCCCAGGGAUAACAGCGCAAUCCUCUUUUAGAGGCCCUAUCGACAAGAGGGUUUACGACCUCGAUGUUGGAUCAGGACAUCCUAUUGGUGCAGCCGCUAAUAAGGGUUCGUUUGUUCAACGAUUAAAGUCCU
rnacentral:rRNA from 1 species